UACGUAGGUGACGAGCGUUGUCCGGAUUUACUGGGCGUAAAGAGCGCGCAGGCGGUCGUUCAAGUCGAGUGUGAAAGCCCCCGGCUCAACUGGGGAGGGUCACUCGAUACUGAUCGACUCGAAGGCAGGAGAGGGUAGUGGAAUUCCCGGUGUAGUGGUGAAAUGCGUAGAUAUCGGGAGGAACACCGGUGGCGAAGGCGGCGACCUGGGUAGAUACUAACGCUGAGGCGCGAAAGCGUGGGGAGCAAACAGG
rnacentral:rRNA from 1 species